rnacentral:rRNA from 1 species
GACGGAGGAUGCAAGUGUUAUCCGGAAUCACUGGGCGUAAAGCGUCUGUAGGUUGUUUAAAAAGUCUGCAGUUAAAGGUUGAAGCUUAACUUCAAAAAUGCCGUAGAAACUUUUAAACUAGAGGAUGGUAGGGGCAGAGGGAAUUUCCGGUGGAGCGGUGAAAUGCGUAGAGAUCGGAAAGAACACCAACGGCGAAAGCACUCUGCUGGGCCGACACUGACGCUGGAGAGACGAAAGCUAGGGGAGCGAAUGGG